GUAUAUAUAGCUCAGUUGGUAGAGUGCUUGCUCCACAUGCACAAGGCCCUGGGUUCCAUCCCCAGCACACACA
rnacentral:tRNA from 1 species